rnacentral:rRNA from 1 species
AGCCUGCGGCUUAAUUUGACUCAACACGGGAAAACUUACCAGGCCCUAACAUUUAUAGGACUGACAGAUUGAUAGCUCUUUCUCGAUAAAAUGGGUGGUGGUGCAUGGCCGUUCUUAGUUGGUGGAGUGGUCUGUCUGGUUGAUUCCGAUAACGAACGAGAUUCUAUCCUACUAAUUAGUGGGCGGAUCGAUUAACCUAUUCUCAAUGGCUUUCGACGUACGGCGUACUAGAGGGUACGUUUCUCGUUAAACGGGGAAUCGCUGUAUCGCGCGUCGUCGUCGUCGUCGCGUAAUCUCGACGGGUUCGCUCGAAACGGUUACGCGCGCGCGCGCGCUCGAGAAAGUUCUCUCAUAAAAACGGUUCGUAUUCGAUCGGUGCGACGUAUCCGAUCGCCACGAGUUUAGGAACGUCCGUCUUAAAAUAUCUUCUUAGAGGGAUCAAUGGCGAUAUGUAGCCGUACGAGAAAGAGCAAUAACAGGUCUGUGAUGCCCUUAGAUGUUCUGGGCAGCACGCGCGCUACAAUGUAGUGAUCAACGUGUGUUUAUUUCGAUAUAAAACCAUUUCUGAAAAGAAUUGGCAACCCUUUCAAAGCCCUACUCGAUAGGGAUUGGGGAUUGUAAUUAUUUCCCAUAAACGAGGAAUUCCUAGUAAUCGCGAAUCAUUUAAUUCGUGCUGAUUACGUCCCUGCCCUUUGUACACACCGCCCGUCGCUACUACCGAUUGAAUGGUUCAGUGAGGCCAUUGGACUAUUACCUUAAGUCGAAUAAACUAUAUAGGUCGAUAGAAAGAUGUCCGAACUCGAUCAUUUAGAGGAAGUAAAAGU